rnacentral:rRNA from 1 species
AUGGUACGAGGGAAGUGCAGCGUGACAACCUGUGUGAAAGAGCCCUGGAGCCAACAUCUACACAUGCGUGAUCCGAGUGAACAGGUUGAGUCAGUUUGCAUGCAUGUGAGUUUGUUAGCUGCAUGUAGUGUGCAUUUGAGGCCAAGUCAUGGCUCCUGGAGAGAUUCCAGGAUUAAGAUAAGGUCAGUUAGUACAUGGUUAGUGCAUGGAGAGUUUAGUGGAGUAGUGGGUCUAGGUAUUGGCGUGAGUUUUGCACGGCAAGAGUGCCAGCCCCUGCUGUAUAAAUGUGUUGCUUUGAGUAAUCAAAAGAAGAGGCCGUGA